rnacentral:rRNA from 1 species
UACGUAGGGUGCAAGCGUUUGUCCGGAAUUAUUGGGCGUAAAGAGCUCGUAGGCGGUCUGUUGCGUCGGCUGUGAAAACCCGAGGCUCAACCUCGGGCCUGCAGCCGAUACGGGCAGACUAGAGUGUGGUAGGGGAGACUGGAAUUCCUGGUGUAGCGGUGAAAUGCGCAGAUAUCAGGAGGAACACCGAUGGCGAAGGCAGGUCUCUGGGCCACUACUGACGU